rnacentral:misc_RNA from 1 species
CCGAGUACCGGGUUGGUAUUUAUGCCUCCCGUUCUCCCACCCUUUGUUUACCUGUUCUUGUUGCCUCGGCGGGCCUGCGGGCCCCGCCUGCUGCCGGCUUCGGCUGGCUAGCGCCCGCCAGGGGACCAACCAAACUCUAUUUUAACGUGUCGUCUGAGUACAACAUCAAUAAGUUA